rnacentral:tRNA from 1 species
GGAUCUAUAGCUAAGUCGGCAAAGCACUACUGUAGCAUAUAAGGGUCGUGAGUUAAAACCUCAUUUGAGCUG